CCUUGGACUUUCUUGCCUUGAGGUAACAGUGCUUACCACUACUGUGCACCACAUAGGUCUGCUUGCUUGCACCACCACAUGACAGCCCCUAUACAUCUUGUUCACCUGCCUCAGCCUGGCGAUGUACACACUCAGGCUUUACAAGCCCUAAAGAGAGCACCAGAGGAGAGAGUUUGAGAGACAACAAGGAAGAGCACUGUGAAUGGGGAGAGACCCUCAGGUCCGCUUCCAUGUGUCGGGGAUAAACACAUGACGGC